rnacentral:rRNA from 1 species
GUCCGAAAGGAUCGCUAAUACCCCAUGUGCUCAUAAGGAUUAGAUGCCUAAUGACUAAACGGAUUUAUUCGCUUCGGGAGGGGCCUGCGUCCCAUCAGCUAGUUGGUAAGGUAAUGGCUUACCAAGGCGAUGACGGGUAGGGGACCUGAGAGGGUGGCCCCCCACAAUGGAACUGAAACACGGUCCAUACACCUACGGGUGGCAGCAGUAGGGAAUAUUGGUAAUCUGGGAAACCGGGAACCAGCAACGCCGCGUGCGCGAUGAAGGCCUUCGGGUUGUAAAGCGCUUUUUGAGGGGAUGAGGAAGGACAGUACCCUCAGAAUAAGCCUCGGCUAACUACGUGCCAGCAGCCGCGGUAAAACGUAGGAGGCGAGCGUUAUCCGGAUUUACUGGGCGUAAAGCGUGUGUAGGCGGUUUGAUAAGUUGGAUGUGAAAGCUCCCGGCUCAACUGGGAGAGGUCGUUCAAAACUAUCAGACUCGAGAGUGGUAGAGGGAGGUGGAAUUCCGCGUGUAGUGGUGAAAUGCGUAGAUAUGCGGAGGAACACCAGUGGCGAAAGCGGCCUCCUGGCCCAUUUCUGACGCUCAGACACGAAAGCUAAGGUAGCAAACGGGAUUAGAGACCCCGGUAGUCUUAGCUGUAAACGAUGUGAACUUAGUGUCGGUGGGGUUAAAUCCAUCGGUACUGAAGCUAACGCGAUAAGUUCACCGCCUGAGGAUUACGGCCGCAAGGUUAAAACUCAAAAGAAUUGACGGA